rnacentral:rRNA from 1 species
UACAGAGGUCUCAAGCGUUGUUCGGAUUCAUUGGGCGUAAAGGGUGCGUAGGUGGCGCGCUAAGUCAGGUGUGAAAUUUCGGAGCUCAACUCCGAAACUGCAUUUGAUACUGGCGUGCUUGAGAACUGGAGAGGAGACUGGAAUUUACGGUGUAGCAGUGAAAUGCGUAGAGAUCGUAAGGAAGACCAGUGGCGAAGGCGGGUCUCUGGACAGUUCCUGACACUGAGGCACGAAGGCCAGGGGAGCAAACGGG